GAAAUGCGAAACGUAAUGCGAUUUGCAGCAUCUGUGAGUCAUCGAGUUUUUGAACGCACUUGGCACCUGGAGUCUUUCCAGGUAUACCUGUUUGAGCAGAAUAUCCAAAUUCAUUUGAGUCUCACUUGUAGUAGUGUGACUUGAAAAGAGUCUGAGUGGGACGUGCAACCAGUGCGUGUUAUGUGUGAUCGCAAGGCCGUGGUCUUGAUUCACAGAAUUCGUAGUGUCAUUGUACGAACAAUCCUGCUCAUACCUAAUAAUUUCUGUACAUUCUCUCUCAAAUCAGGCAAGAUUACCCGCUGAACUUAA
rnacentral:misc_RNA from 1 species